rnacentral:rRNA from 1 species
UACAGAGGGUGCAAGCGUUGUUCGGAAUUAUUGGGCGUAAAGCGCACGUAGGCGGCUUGCCAAGUCGGACGUGAAAUCCCUCAGCUCAACUGAGGACGUGCAUCCGAAACUGGCGAGCUUGAGUACUGAAGAGGAUCGCGGAGUUCCCGGUGUAGAGGUGAAAUUCGUAGAUAUCGGGAGGAACACCAGUGGCGAAGGCGGCGAUCUGGGCAGAUACUGACGCUGAGGUGCGAAAGCGUGGGGAGCAAACAGG